GAGUUUAGCCACCCAUCGGCGCCCUUUUCGACCCCAAGCAUUCUCCGCGCCAGUCUUCGCCAUCUCCGCCGGCUCCCGCCGCCUUCAAUCUUUCGAGCCCUUUCAGAGAGUUCUCCCACUGGGGCUUCUGCCCCGAAGUUCAAUCUCGAGAGGAUGCUACGGAUCGAGAGGAGUUUGAGGGGGGAAACAGUGGCCUGCAAGUUCAGCAGCUGCCGAAC
rnacentral:lncRNA from 1 species